GUCAGAUUGUAAUGACGAUCUAUGUUUGGCUACAUCGUGGAUAAGCAAAUCUACUCGAGGCGGUAGGUUCCCGCCUGGUAAAGCAGUGCUCCUCAAUCCUCUCCUCAAGGCACACCUAACAGUCCAGGAUUUAGGGAUUACCCGGGUGUGUCUAAUGUGUUUAGCAAACUGCAAAGAAACACCUGAAGUCUGUGUUUCUAUUUUUUUUUUUUUUUUUUAAACACACCCAGUAAUCUCUAAAUCGUGGACUUUUCGGUGGGCCUUGCGGGGAGAGUUGAGGAGCACUGUGGUCAAGUGUCUGUGUUUCAUUCCUCUCAUUGCUAAACCGUACAUUUUAUUCAAAGGCUUGCACGGGGCUUUCCAUGAAUCAUGGUAAAUAACAGAUACAGCCGUAAGGAAUUCAUGAUCAAUUGUUCUAGAAGAAGCGUCUACGAAACACUUACCAUUUUGUAGACCUGAG